rnacentral:rRNA from 1 species
GAUGAACGCUGGCGGCGUGCCUAAUACAUGCAAGUCGAGCGAACGGACGAGAAGCUUGCUUCUCUGAUGUUAGCGGCGGACGGGUGAGUAACACGUGGAUAACCUACCUAUAAGACUGGGAUAACUUCGGGAAACCGGAGCUAAUACCGGAUGAUAUUUUGAACCGCAUGGUUCAAAAGUGAAAGACGGUCUUGCUGUCACUUAUAGAUGGAUCCGCGCUGCAUUAGCUAGUUGGUAAGGUAACGGCUUACCAAGGCAACGAUGCAUACCCGACCUGAGAGGGUGAUCGGCCACACUGGAACUGAGACACGGUCCAGACUCCUACGGGAGGCAGCAGUAGGGAAUCUUCCGCAAUGGGCGAAAGCCUGACGGAGCAACGCCGCGUGAGUGAUGAAGGUCUUCGGAUCGCAAAACUCUGUUAUUAGGGAAGAACAUAUGUGUAAGUAACUGUGCACAUCUUGACGGUACCUAAUCAGAAAGCCACGGCUAACUACGUG